CGGAGUCCCGUGUCAGUGGUGCGCCCGGAGUCACCAUGCGGUCGCAGAUCCUGCUCACCCUCUGCUUGGCAGCCGGCCUGCAGGCGGCGCCCGAGCGACCGGAGGGAGGCCUCUCAUGCCCCCGCUCCCAGGGCCUCUUCGCGCACCCCUUCGACUGCAGCAAGUUUCUGCACUGCGACCAUGGUCAUCCGUACGUCAAGGACUGCCCGGCCAACCUGCACUUCAACCCCAAGAUCAUGGUGUGUGAUUGGCCGGAGCAGGCGGGCUGCCGGCCGGGCACGCCCACCGACCCGCCCACGCCCGACGUGCCGCCUGAGCCCGGCAUGGAGUGCGACUGCGAGUGCUGCCUGAAGCCCAACGGCGACGACUGCACCACCUUCUACCUGUGCAAGGAUGGCAAGGCCUACCUGGAGACUUGCGCCACCGGCCUGGUGUACAACCCCAACAUCCAGAACUGUGACCUGCCCAGCAAUUACAACUGUGGUGGUCCCGAGCCGACGCCCAGUCCGUUUGAUUGUCCCACCGACGGACUGUUCCCCAAUCCGGCCGACUGCCACACCUUCUUCCACUGCUCCAAUGGAAUCUCGUACAAGAAGAACUGUCCCGCUAACCUCGACUUUGACGCGCGGACAAAGCGGUGCGAGUGGCCAAACCAGGCCGGCUGCCGGUACCCAGCCUCGACCACUAAGAAGCCUCCCGAACCCACUACGCGCUCCACCACUACAACCAAAGGGCCGGACUUCGACUGCCCCACCGGAGACGGGCUCUUCCCCAAUCCGGAGGACUGUCAUACGUUCUUCCAUUGUUCCAAUGGAAUCCCGUACAAGAAGGACUGCCCUGCUAAUCUCGACUUCGACGCCAAGACGAAACGGUGCGAGUGGCCAGACCAGGCCGGCUGCCGGUACCCAGCCUCGACCACUCAGAAGCCGCCCGAACCCACCACGCGCUCCACCACUACAACCAAACGGCCGGACUUCGACUGCCCCACCGCAGACGGGCUCUUCCCCAACCCGAAAGACUGCCAUACGUUCUUCCAGUGUUCGAACGGAAUCCCCUACCUAAUGGACUGUCCGGCCAACCUCGAAUUCAACCCGGUCCUCCUCGUCUGCGAUUGGCCAGAGCAUGCCGGCUGCUCGAAUAAGACCACACCCACUACGCCCGCAGUGUCCCCCACCACACCCCGCACGCCCGCUACCACUCCCAAACGGCCGGACUUCGACUGCCCCACCAGCACCAGCAGCGGGCUGUUCCCCAACCCGAAAGACUGCCAUACGUUCUACCAGUGUUCGAACGGAAUCCCCUACCUAAUGGACUGUCCGGCCAACCUCGAAUUCAACCCGGUCCUCCUCGUCUGCGAUUGGCCAGAGCAUGCCGGCUGCUCGAAUAAGACCACACCCACUACGCCCGCAGUGUCCCCCACCACGAGGCCGGUUGUCACCACCACCAAGAAGGACUUCGACUGCCCCACCAGCAACGGGCUGUUCCCCAACCCGAAGGACUGUCAUUCGUUCUACCACUGCUCGAACGGGUACCCUUACCUGAAGGACUGUCCCGCUAACCUUGAGUUCAACCCGGUGCUCUUGGUGUGCGACUGGCCCAAUCACGCUGGCUGCGGCGGCCACCCGCAGCCCACGCCCGACUACCCGGUCACCACGCCGGUGCCCGACGACGACAUCGUCUGCCCGAACAAGAGCUGCGCGUGCAGGCUGCCGGACAAGGACGACUGCAGCGGCUUCUAUCAGUGUCGGGACGGCAAGGCCUACCACAAAAGCUGUCCGACCGGCCUGGUCUUUAACCCCGACACGGAAGUGUGCGAUCUGCCCGCCAAUGUGAAAUGCGGCGCCCACACUACUGCCACACCGCCACCACCUACCACCCCCACCCCAACCACCACCACCACUACGGCAGCGCCCACCACCCUGCCGCCCCCGUCUCCGUGUACGUUCCCCUGCUCUAAGAGCGACGGUACCUACGCCAAUCCGCUGAACUGCGGCACCUACUUUCACUGCUCGGGCGGAAAGGCCAGCAUCGAGUACUGUCCGGCCGGCACGCACUUCAACACGGGCACGAACGCGUGCGACGCGCCCGAGACCGCCGGCUGUUGUCACCUGUAACCCCCCUCCCCGUCCCGCCCCUCACCCGUCCCACGCCUCCCCGACACACCGCACCGGACCACGGCCACUGAUGGCUGCCGCGCUCACCUCGGUAGCUUGUUUUUCCCCCACGGCAGACAGCAAUCGUCACGUGUUGCCGCUGACACUGCACCCAGUCUGUAGUCACCUUCCUUGUAGUGUAAUCCGCACACAGCACCGCACAUACCUUUCACGCAUCCGCCGCCCGAUCAGCACCCGCCUCUCCCGCUCGAGACAUGCUGCAUGCUGACAAUGGCCGAUCGAAGUAGAGUACCUGAUCCCAAAGACUGCCACAAAUUUUACCAGUGCAAGAACGGCAAGGCCUACCCGAUGAGCUGUCCGAAGGGCCUUGUCUAC
rnacentral:misc_RNA from 1 species